rnacentral:misc_RNA from 1 species
UGGAGAUGUAGCCUAAUGAUGCAAGAAAAGGUAAUCUAGAUCAGUGAAGUUAACAAACCAACUUGUAUCAGGAAAAUAGAAUGAGAGGAAAGUUGGUAAGAAUUUUGGUGUACAAUGAAAUGCCACUGUUUUUACUCAUUAUUAAUGCUAUCAAUAAAACUUCUUGGAAAGAUCCUAGAAUAGAAGGCACAGUUAGCAAAUAUAUCAUUUUGAUCACUCAUUCCUCUAGAAACUAUCCAAAAAUACAGGUGCAGUAAAAGCCAAGAUCAUGCAAUGACACAUGUCAACCAUAAGAUGUCUAUCAUAAAAAGGGGCCAAUUUUUGUACUGUUGGUUGUCCAAAAAAAAAUGUUGACAUGCUAAAUCAAUAUAUUAUAAUUGGAUUAUCUGAAACAUGCAUCCUUUAUCCUUUUAAACUUAAAUCAUAACAACAAACCUUCAAGAGGCGAGUCUGCAAUG